rnacentral:rRNA from 1 species
UACAGAGACCUCAAGCGUUAUCCGGAAUCAUUGGGCGUAAAGCGUACCGAUAGGUGGUUGAUUAAGCCUUGGGUAAAGGCCAGAAGCUUAACUUCUGAGUUUGCUUAAGAUACUAAUCAGCUAGAGGGGCAAAUAGGAAGCUGGAACGAGCGGUGUAGUAGUGAAAUGCGUUGAUAUCGCUCGGAACACCGAAAGCGUAGGCAGGCUUCUGGGUGCCACCUGACACUGCUAGGACGAAAGCGUGGGGAGCGAAUGGG